ensembl:snRNA U5 U5 spliceosomal RNA
AUCCUCUGGUUUCUCUUCAGAUAGUAUAAAUCGUUUGCUUUUUACUAAAGAUUUCUGUGGAGAGGAUCAAUUCUGAGUCUUUAGCCAAUUUUUUGAGGCCGUGGCAUUGCAAAGGCU